UAGGGAAUCUUCGGCAAUGGACGAAAGUCUGACCGAGCAACGCCGCGUGAGUGAAGAAGGUUUUCGGAUCGUAAAACUCUGUUGUUAGAGAAGAACAAGGACGUUAGUAACUGAACGUCCCCUGACGGUAUCUAACCAGAAAGCCACGGCUAACUACGUGCCAGCAGCCGCGGUAAUACGUAGGUGGCAAGCGUUGUCCGGAUUUAUUGGGCGUAAAGCGAGCGCAGGCGGUUUCUUAAGUCUGAUGUGAAAGCCCCCGGCGCAACCGGGGAGGGUCAUUGGAAACUAGGAGACUUGAGUGCAGAAGGGGAGAGUGGAAUUUCAUGUGGAGCGGUUAAAUGCGUAGAUCUAUGGGGGAACACCAGUGGCGAACGCCGCUCUCUGGUCUGUAACUGACGCUUAGGCUCGAAAGUGUGGGGAGCAAACAGG
rnacentral:rRNA from 1 species